rnacentral:rRNA from 1 species
GUGGGGAAUUUUGGACAAUGGGCGCAAGCCUGAUCCAGCCAUGCCGCGUGCAGGAAGACGCAUCUAUGGUGUGUAAACUGCUUUUGUACGGGAAGAAACACUCCCUCGUGAGGGAGCUUGACGGUACCGUAAGAAUAAGGAUCGGCUAACUCCGUGCCAGCAGCCGCGGUAAUACGGAGGAUCCAAGCGUUAUCCGGAAUCAUUGGGUUUAAAGGGUCCGUAGGCGGUUUAAUAAGUCAGUGGUGAAAGCCCAUCGCUCAACGAUGGAACGGCCAUUGAUACUGUUAGACUUGAAUUACAAGGAAGUAACUAGAAUAUGUAGUGUAGCGGUGAAAUGCUUAGAGAUCACACAGAAUAUCGAUUGCGAAGGCAGCUCACAAAGCCAUUAUUGACGCUGAGGCACGAAAGUGUGUGGAUCAAACAGGAUUAGAAACCCGGGUAGUCC